GACGAACGCUGGCGGCGUGCUUAACACAUGCAAGUCGAACGGAAAGGCCCUGCUUUUGUGGGGUGCUCGAGUGGCGAACGGGUGAGUAACACGUGAGUAACCUGCCCUUGACUUUGGGAUAACUUCAGGAAACUGGGGCUAAUACCGGAUAGGAGCUCCUGCUGCAUGGUGGGGGUUGGAAAGUUUCGGCGGUUGGGGAUGGACUCGCGGCUUAUCAGCUUGUUGGUGGGGUAGUGGCUUACCAAGGCUUUGACGGGUAGCCGGCCUGAGAGGGUGACCGGCCACAUUGGGACUGAGAUACGGCCCAGACUCCUACGGGAGGCAGCAGUGGGGAAUAGUGCACAAUGGGCGGAAGCCUGAUGCAGCAACGCCGCGUGCGGGAUGACGGCCUUCGGGUUGUAAACCGCUUUCGACUGUGACGAAGCGUGAGUGACGGUAAUGGGUAAAGAAGCACCGGCUAACUA
rnacentral:rRNA from 1 species